rnacentral:misc_RNA from 1 species
AAGUCGUAACAAGGUUUCCGUAGGUGAACCUGCGGAAGGAUCAUUAAAGAAUGUCGAGCCUCACAGCUCUUAUUCUCACCCUUUGUAUACCAAACUUUGUUGCUUUGCGCUGGCCUUGGGCCUGCAGGACGAACCCGAACCUAGAAUCUCUGCCGUCUGAGUAUUAUAUAAUAGUUAAAA